UUUAAAGAGAGUUUGAUCCUGGCUCAGGACGAACGCUGGCGGCGUGCCUAAUACAUGCAAGUCGAACGAACGGAGGAAGAGCUUGCUCUUCCAAUGUUAGUGGCGGACGGGUGAGUAACACGUGGGCAACCUGCCUGUAAGUUGGGGAUAACUCCGGGAAACCGGGGCUAAUACCGAAUGAUAAAGUGUGGCGCAUGCCACGCUUUUGAAAGAUGGUUUCGGCUAUCGCUUACAGAUGGGCCCGCGGUGCAUUAGCUAGUUGGUAGGGUAAUGGCCUACCAAGGCAACGAUGCAUAGCCGACCUGAGAGGGUGAUCGGCCACACUGGGACU
rnacentral:rRNA from 1 species